CCUUUGCAUUGAAGGAAUGUGUUUAUUAUAAGCAUUGAUGCAAAUCUCAGCAAAUGACCUCUUUAGACACAUUUUUGGUUUCUUUAAACCAGAACAUAGUGCAUAUUUGUAGUCCUUGUAGUUGAGGCUCACUUUUUCGUGCGAAAGAAAAUUCUCAAAUAUGCUCAAGAGAUCAAUCAUGUCAGGGGAUCGAUUAGAACUUAGUAGGUCUUGAAUUUUCUUAAAGUUUCCUCGGUGAAAAUCAAGGUUUGGAGUUUCCUCCGGCAGUGGACUUAAUAUCUCCGUUUGGGGCAUUGGAGGGUAUGGAAUACCGAAUCUACACACUUCUUUUCCAAUGUUAUUGGCUGCCUUAAGACAUGACCUUUUAGUGUGCUUAUGCUUUUGGUAUUUGUUGAAAGUAGCAGCAGCCGUAGUAGCCGGCCGCUAAGCUAAGCUCAG
rnacentral:lncRNA from 1 species